GCCGACGUAGCUCAGCUGGUAGAGCAGCGGUUUUGUAAACCGCAGGUCGUAGGUUCAAACCCUAUCGUCGGCU
rfam:Candidatus Endomicrobium sp. Rsa215, complete genome.